GGAACAUUUGUUCUCUUUUUGUUUUGCAAUAAUGUUUUUAUUAGAAAUAUAUGUACAUUGUUGAAAACUGGAAAAUGCCAAAAAUAGAAGGAAAAGAGUGAAAAUUGCUGAUGAUACCACCACCAAGAAAUCAUCACCAUUAAUAUUUUGGCUUUUUUGUUUUCAGAUUUUUUCCAUUAUGAAAUUGUUGAUAUUUGAUCCUCUUGACCUAUAAAAAUGUUAAUAUCAUAUAGCUUACUCGAACAUAUCCAAAUAAUGUCAUAUAUAUUAUUUUAUGUACCAAAAAGCAUACUAAACAGAUUGUUUUAUAGCUUACUUUUCUCAUUUUUAACAUUAUAAUUUAAGCAUUUGUUCAUAAUAUUAAAACUUUUUGAAAACAUUAUUAUGAAUGACUAUUUCAAUAUGUGGAUGUACCACAACUUACCUAAUGAUUUACCUACUGGUAAUCAUUGAGUUGGACUGGUUGGACAUGAGUUGUUUCUAAUUUGUCGCUAUUACAAAUAAUGCUCUGAUAAAUAUGUAUAAUUAAUUUGUGUUUCAGAUUAUUUUUAUUUCUAGAAAUGAGAUUCUUGGUUAUAGGCUAAAUAUAUUUUCUUGGUUUUUUUUUUUGUUCAUUUGUUUGUUUGAGAUGGAGUCUCCCUGUCACCCAGACUGGAAUGCAGUGGCAUGAUCUUGGUUCACUGAAACCUCUGCCUUUCUGGUUCAAGCAAUUCUCAUGUUUCAGCCUCCCAAGCAACGUGUUGGACCUUCCGGAGCUUCUCAGAAGACAGAGGGUUUUCUUUUGAGGUAAAUUUGAUAGUACAUUUUGAUAGUACGGGAGGCGAUACGGCAUGGUGACAGAAAAGCGCCGGCUUGGUUAGCAGGACCACCUGGCAGGGCUGCAGGCUGUGCCACUUACCAGGCAGGGGACCUUGGGCCAGCUGCUUGGCCUCACUCACCCUGUUUCUCAGCUGCAAUUGGGAUGAACAGACUGCCUGCUUCGGGGUUGCCUAAAACUCACAUUGGUUAAUGAUGUGAAAUGCUUAGCGCAGUGCCUGGCAUAGAGAGAAUUCUCAUUAGAUGAUACCUCAGCUGGGCUUUAGGAGCUACAGAAGAAGCUGCAUCUCCAUGAGCUCAGCGUGUUUCUAGCUUUCCUUUUUGUUUUCUAUUCAACCUUUCACCCAACUCAGCUUCUCAAUCCCUAAAUGACAAAGGUUUGGGAAGGAAGACUUGGACCGAGGCUUGCAUUUGUUUCUGAGAAUUAAACGUUAUGUUUUCUUCAAUCUAAAUAGGUUUGCUUGUACAGCCUUGUUGAAUGGUUUUUUUUUUUUUUCUCCAUGAUAAAUGACUCUCAACUUCUUUUCCCUCAUCUAAUUGCUUAUCUACAUACAAUGCCUGGAAGGAAAUAAAUGUAAUGGCCCGUAGCAACUGGCCUUCAGGUAUCAAGUUUAAGUCCCUUUAAGCAGAACAGCAAAUUGAGCACAGAAUGAACUGGUUUCAUGGUAGCGUACUGCAAUUAGAUGCAAGAAUAGGGAAAGCAGGGUGCUUCAAGUGGUGACACAAUUAGUAUAGCACUGAGGGACUUCUCUUUCCACUUCUUCAACUCCGCCUGCAUUCCGCUGGCUGAAGAGUUGAUGACAUCCCUGAAAAAUCUUCCCUCUCUUGUUUCUCUGAUGCCACCUCUGUGUUCUCCGCCUCACUGGCCACACUUCCUUUACCUCCCAAACUUUUAACUCUGAGUGUCCCAAACUUGUCUCAUCACCUACCCCUGCUGCCCAGCUCCCCAGCCUGUUCCCCUUCUGACACGGGCACUCUCCUUCUGCUCUCUUGGGAGAGAAACAAUGAAGGCCUAUUUGGCACUUUUAUUUCUAUUCAAGGAACCAGACUGUGAACAAGUUUACCAUUUAGUCCUUUGGACUGUGUCUUGAAUUCAUCCCUCUUCUCCAUUCUCACCAGCACCAUCAUCAUGAUGGCUAAUAUUUCCUGAGCACCUUUCAUUCAGGCAUGAUGCCAGGUGCACCAACUUACUUAAUCCUCAUAGCCACCACCUGAGCAAGCUCCUGUUUUAUAAAUGGACCAGUUCUUGUUGCUGUUGUACAAGUUAUUUUCUUUCUAUAACGUCCUCCUUGUCCUCCUUCCACAUUCUUAAAGAAACUUUCCCUUCCUUUAAAGUACUCAGGGAGCCCUGCAUUGCUUCUUGAAGCCUUCUCCAGCUUCAUCAUCUCACAGUGGUCUCUCUUUUCACUAAAUGUCCAAUAUGCUGCACAUAAGUACCCCAAAGUUAGCACAGAAUUGUUCCAUGGCUGUCAUAUAUGUUAAAAAUCAUUAAAAGUUCAUUUUUUCUCCCAUUAUGGGAAGGAUACAUGCUCCUACUAGUAAAUUUAGUUGGUAGAAAAAAAUUAUCACUAUCUAGACUGCUUUCCCUUUAGUCUUUAUGCAUAGCUUUCUGUCUGCCUAUUUUUACUUUGUGUUUGUAACUUACUAUUAUAAAAUAUGCAUCUCUAUGUUCAUUGUCAACAUUAUUUACAAUAACAUGGAGUGGAUUUACAUGUAUUCUCUAUAUUUGGAUUAAAGGAGAUAGAGUAUGUGAAAUUAAA
rnacentral:lncRNA from 1 species